GCGUGCCGGAUCAUGGCGCAGCGGCAGCGCAAGUUCCAGGCGCGCAAGGCCACAAAGAGCAAGACGGUAGCGGCGGCCUCUGAAAAGAAUCCGGGCCGAGAAAAGGCGGUCGUGUUAUGGCUCCCAGGAAGGCGCGCGUCGUGCAGCAGCAAAAGCUCAAGAAGAACCUAGAAGUCGGAAUCCGGAAGAAGAUCGAACAUGACGUGGCGAUGAGAGCCAGCAGCAUCCUGCCCAAGAAGCUGGCACUGCUGAAGACUCCGGUCAAGAAGAACGCGGAGGCUGCCGCCACCUCCUCCUCCUCCGUCCUCCGUCCUCAGCCUUCCUGAGGACGCUGGCCCCAGUGCAGGCCAACACCCCACCCCCUACCUCCAUAUGGGAUCUUACAAGUGAUCCCACAGUCUGCACUGUCAGGAAGAGGACCCCGUCCCCCAGCACUGGACUUCACCUAGAACUUUAGUGGGGGCCAAGGGUGCUGAGAACCCACCAAUGACUAGGAAGAUACAGUCACCAACUUCAUCUGUCCCCGUGCCCCUUCCCAGGUCCUGCCUCCACAGGUUUAACCCAGAACUAUAAACCUGUCUUUGUCAAAAAAAAAAAAAAAAAA